UAUAUGUGUGUGUGUGCGCGCACAAAAUAUUUUUUUUUUAGAGAGAGUGUGGAACACCCUGUGUAUAU
rnacentral:tRNA from 1 species